rnacentral:rRNA from 1 species
CCUGCAUGAAUCGGAAUUGCUAGUAGUCGUAGAUCAGCAUGCUACGGUGAAUACGUUCCCGGGCCUUGUACACACCGCCCGUCAAACCAUGAGAGUUGGCAACACCCGAAGCCUGUAGCUUAACCGCAAGGACGGCGCAGUCGAAGGUGGGGUCGAUGAUUAGGGUUAAGUCGUAACAAGGUAAC